GACGAACGCUGGCGGCGUGCUUAACACAUGCAAGUCGAACGGAAAGGCCCUGCUCUUGUGGGGUGCACGAUUGGCGAACGGGUGAGUAACACGUGAGUAACCUGCCCUUGACUUUGGGAUAACAUCAGGAAACUGGGGCUAAUACCGGAUAUGAGCUCCUGCUGCAUGGUGGGGGUUGGAAAGUUUCGGCGGUUGGGGAUGGAAUCGCGGCUUAUCAGCCGGUUUGUGGGGUAGGGGCGUACAAAGGCUUUGACGGGUAGGCUGCCUGGGAGGGUGACCGGGCUCCUUGCGACUACGAUACGGCGCAGAAGCCUACGGGCCGCAGCAGGCGGGAAUCUUGCGCAACGGCCGGACGCCUGAUACAGCAACGCCGCGUUCGGGAUGCCCGGCUUUGGGUUGUAAACCGAUUUCGCAUGUGACGAAGCCUGAGUGACGGUACUGGGUAAGGAAGCACCGGCUAACUACGUG
rnacentral:rRNA from 1 species